CAUACUUCGGCAGCCUUUUCCAACCUGUUGGUUGUGGGAUCUUGUUUGUGUAUAGCUGCCUUGAGCACUGCAUAGCUUCACGUUCGUUUGGUUCUUUAUUGUUUUUUGCCGGUUCACGUAAAAAUGAUGAUGAACCCAAACCACGCUGCAUUGUGGUCCGAUUCUUACAACAACGCUCGUGACAGACAAUGACCAAACACACCUCCAGGCUGUGUAAGGGCUAUGUGACCAAGGAAUGAUGAAGUGCUGCAUCAGAUGACCUGGCCUCCACAGUCGUCCAUCCUCAACCCAAUUGAGAUUGUUUGGGAUGAGUUGGACCGCAGAAUGAAGGAAAAGCAGCCAACAAGUGCUCAGCAUAUGUGGGAACUCCUUCAAGACUGUUGGAAAAGCGUUCCAGGUGAAGCUGGUUGAGAGAAUGCGAAGAGUGUGCAAAGCUGUCAUCAAGGCAAAGGGUGGCUACUUAGACAAAUCAAAAUAUAUUUUAGAUUCUUCAAACACUUUUAGUUACUACAUGACUCCAUAUGUUAUUUCAUAGUUGUGAUGUCUUGACUGUUAUUAUACAAUGAAGAAAAUAGUAAAAAUAAAGAAAAGCCUUUGAAUGAGUAGGUGUGUCCAAACUUUGGACUGGUAAUGUAUUUGAAUUGAAUGCGCUUGUCAACAAGUGUUUAUUUUUUAGAAUUUGUUUUACCUUGUAGCCUAAUCUGACUACUGUUACCGUCAAUCAAAUGCAUUGUAACAACUGCUCUAGCUGCUUGAUCAUUUCCAAUUAAAUUAAGAAAACAUUUUCCAUUAAUAAUUGCAUUAAAACACAAGGCUACAACAAUAAACUGAAGUAAAAGGCUAUUCAAUUUGUUUGUCCGCUUCAGGUAGGCUACACAAGUGGCACAAAUUGAUUUGCAAUGACUCCAGGGAAAUUGACAUUUCAAACUAUUUAUUGUAUCAAAUGGCAGCCUACAAUGGCAUAUACAUUAAUGGGAUACCUGGUGGUUAGCAGUGGCAAAUGUAGCUAUCUCCACAUAUGGCCUAAUGUCAGCUUCAUUAAGGACUUUUCCCCAUGAAAAGAACCACCGAGUUCCCUUUCAAAUUUCCACUCGGGCAGCCCCGAGACCCAAGAAGUGAGCAUGCAUAAAGCACUUGAUGCCGUUUUCUUUAGGCAAAGUCAACAUUUGAAUGCAGUUUAGUUUAAACCAAAUCCGAGAAAAGGGUUGGACACGGGUGUCUCCAUAAUGUCAAUCUAAAUAGCCUACCUACAACUGGAAAAAAGUUGUCAAGAUGUGCACGAGUGCUGCUCUCGCUCCUCUUGCUCAUGUGACUCAGCCAAUACUUGUGGUGCUCUCUCAACACACACACACUCACACACACCCCACUCACUUACUCACUCAGCAACAACCUGAAAGACAGUUGAUUUGAAA
ensembl:lncRNA